UCUGGCUUGACUAUUGCACACUGCUUAGCACCGAGUGCCAUAUAGCAGGAGAUCAACGUGUACCUGUGGAAUAACAGAUGGUAUCCCAUUCCCUGAGAUCCAAGAGGAGGAGGAUGCUGAAUCAUAUUCUCCAACAAGGAACUUUCCAAUUCUUCCUUGUGUCCUGUGGUGUCUACAGCACCUAGGACAGCGCCCGCAGCGCAGGAAGCCACCCAAUGACUGUUGAAUAGAAAUGGAGAGAUUACUGAAGCAGAAAAACAGUCAACAGUUCACUGGAAAGCAGUACCUACUACUGGGAAGGAAAGGAUCUGAACCCCCUCUGGGGGACGAAAUGAUGAUAUAUCAGUAAAACACGAUGCUAUGCAAGGCACAUCCACAACGGAAGAUUGCCAGUUCAAGUCUAGAGACCUCCCUGCCUACACUGAGCACGACCUGUCCUGAAGAUAAACGAAGUAAGACACAGAGAAGUUAGGUGACUAACUAAGGUCACACAGCUGGACAGUGGCUAAACCUGGAUUCCAAGGCAAGUGAUCAAGAGCUGAAGACUGACUUCUUACCAUACAAAGUAAGGUGCCAAUCUGGAGUUAAGGUUCUCGUCCUGCUGAGGCCCAGCUGCUGAUCCAGUGAGGUGAAGAGCCCAACAGAGGUGGAGGCUUAAGGACACAGAAAACAAACUAACCUCAGGGCCCUGGACUCACAAAGUAGGGAGCCAUUACUAAUAACGAGAGAGAGAGAAGGGCAGUGGUUAGGACCAGGGACUGAACUGAAAGCCUAGACUUGGAUUCCAGCUCUGCCAUUUAGAAGCCAUGACACCUUGGGCACUCUCUCAAUGUUCUCAUCAGUAAGACGGGGAUACAAUGAUAUCUGUUUCAUAGAGUUGUUGUAACAGGUACGUGAGCUGGUUUUGGAAAGCACUGAGCACUGACCCUGGCAUACAGUAAGCGAGAUGUGAGUGCUAAAUAAAAUAAACACA